UUCAGCAGCUUUAUGGAGCCAUGCCAAUUUCCCCUGCUUGGGAAUGAACUGGAGGAGCUUCUUCCCAUGCUGGAGCCUCACAGGAAAGAAGAGGGGUGAACGUGCCAGUGGUGGCUGUGCUGCAGCUCACUGAUCUUUGCAGGGUGCAGGUAGAGAGGAGCAGGUGACAAUCCUCUCCAAGAUUACAGAGAUCUCGUGUCCCAUAAGUCCCAGGUGGUGGUGGAGCCCCUGGUUUUUUGGGACUCUCACUCUGGAGCAUGCCCAUAAUGUGGCAGUGACCCAGCUACUGUGUAAAUAUUUUUGAAAAGCAGCAUUUGUCCCCAUAUUAGCAGGCAGAGAAAGGCAAGGUGGUAUGGGCAGCCCAAGGUGUGGGGAAGGAAUCCUGGCUCUCCCAGGGUCUGGAGUUCUGCUUUUUGUGUUUUAGCCCAGAUUUUCUUCUGGAAUGUGGCAUCCAGCACGUUGUGCCAAGAGAUGCUCUGCCCUGUGUGAUGGCAGGACUGCAUCCCUCCCCUGUGGGUUUGCUUCCCUGUGCCUUGGCCUGCUCCUGUGACUGGUGGGGAAGCAAUUAUUUUUUUAGGUGAAGAACUCCUAAGAUUAUCAAAUGAACAGAACUGUGCAACAUAAAAUCUUGAAUUUACUAGCUAUUAUUUGUAUCCUUAGAAGCACAGUGUGCUGUCAUCUUGCCUUUAUAAAGAUCAAAAUCCAUCCUGACAGCCUGCUUUGCCUACUUUCUCCAUGGCUGAAGGCAACUUUGCAGGCCCUUGGAGCUGAAACUGUCACUUUUUGUUAAUCCUGUGUGUUUCUUGUGUUUAAACUUUUGAAUAUAUCAGUAGAGCUGGUGUAAUCUCCAUAAUCAUGACUUUAUCGUACAAGAAUAACUCUUGAAUAUCUAGCCCGAAGUUAACUCUUCUCAGACAGCAGUGACAUGGGUGACAAGAUGGCCAAGAUGCUUUUCAGGAGAUGUGGUAAAAGCUGUGGCACUGCCCAGCCCAGCAGGGUGAGGCUCAGGCUGGUGCCUUGGUUGCUGCAGGGAGAUGCAUGAGGCAGUGGAUGGAGUGGUGCUUUCCCACUUCUGCUACUUGUAUCUCACUCUGGUUUUCAUUUGUCGACCUACUGUGUCCAUUAUCUACCACAGGGACACUUAAUCCAUGUGGAAAAGUCAAGGCUUAGCAUUUCACUUCAUGAAGCUGGUAAUACAUUGCAAAUUAAACAACAUUAUUUGCUCUCUUUUCUUCUCUCUCAAGUUUGUUUCCAUACAGGAUGUGCUCAAGAAAUGCAAGAUGGAAAAAGAAAAUCAAUACUUAUUGAUGCUAAAAUAUUAAUGUUUUUUCAGAAUGAGGGGUGGAAUAGAGUGAACUCCCAGGAGUUCACAGCAGCCCUGACUGCAGCGCUGCAGAGUUUGCAAAAGCAUUGGAGAGCAGAGGUAGGGCCAGCAUGGGCAGGGAAAGAAGGGUCUGGUGUGAGCUGACUUUUGUGCACUCUCUGACACCUUGCAGAGUGAAAUGGGUGCUGUGCAGUGCCUGUCCUGUGUGUCAGCAUGGGAAUGGGACCCAGCAUUGCCUGCUACCCCGUGCUCCUGGAAAAAUCCUGACAGGGUGUGCAUCCACCCAGGAGCAGCGGGAAUGGCCCUGCAGCUUCUGCUGCCCAGCACUGUCCCACGCAGCCAUGUCCCCCUGUGUGCCAGAGCCAGGGCUGUGCUCCUGCACUGGCACUGUCCCCUAGUCUGGGUAGUGAGAAACCAUCAGGGAGCUGGGAACACGUGCACCAGCACUGAAACAAGUACAAUUAUUGCAAGGUGUGCAUAUGACUUCGCAAGGAUUACACAGAGAACUAGGCCAAGCUUUCCCCAUGCCGAGGGUGUCAUCCCUCCCCGGUGGUCCAGCCCUCCCAGUUACUCCUUGGCAGCAGGUUUGUUGCCAUUACUGUGCCAGAAAAGUGUGUUGGUGACAGAAAAGAGCAGACUGUGUGUGUGAUCUUUGCAGGCUGCCUGGCAGAGCUGGCUCUGUCCUUGCUGGGCUGUCGUGAGGGGAUCUGGCACCUCGGUUCCCAGCCUCCAGAAACACUCUGUGUUCACACCGUCCUCCUUUUGUUCAGGUUUCCAGAGGAGUUUCUUUUUAGAUAGAAGCCUUCAGAUGGGAUUUAUGUGAACGUGAAACCCCAUCAGGCAUGGGCAGAUUUGGGUUUCCCAGCCCAUUCCUUGGGUGCUGCUGCCAUCUAGGGUGUGAGCCAGCAGAGCCUCGGUGCUGGCCACGGGCAGCCACGGCCUUAUCGCACUGUCCACGGCCUUAUCACACUGUCCACGGCCUUAUCACACUGUCCCACAGCCUUAUCACACUGCCCACAGCCUGCCCUGCAGGGUUUGCUCUGAAGGAUUGAUGGCAGCCAGGCCGGGGCCCACCGCAGCUGCCAGGGCUGAGCCACGUUUGGGGUUAAGCAUGGUCAUGGCACCUUACUGCCCGAAGACAGACUGCAGAGGAGCAGUGUUCUGAGGUGUCACUGUGGUGUGGGACACAGGGUUUGGUUUCUGCUGUUGCCAUGAGCUCCCAGGUGUGCUGCAGGUGCAGUGACACUGCAGGGGCUGGCGAGGAGCCCGGGCUCACAGCAGGUCUUGCCCCUGGCUGGGCAGGUUGGCUUGGUUGUUGUUUAAAGGUCCCUGUGCAGACUGGCAGGGUGCGUGGAAGGGGUCAGAGAUGGCCGUGGUGUCUCUGAGCUGAAGCCCCUCUGAAGCAGACUUGUGUUCCACCUGGGCUGUACUGCCACCUUUGUUUUUGUGUCAAACAGGUCUGGUCUGCCAACCCAAGAAGUUUUUACACACACUUAGAGAGAAUGUGAGCUAAAGCCAGGCUGGCUCCUGCCCAGCCUGAGGGGCACAGGGAGGGAACAGAUGUUCACUCCAAACCAAAAUCAUUCCUGAGCUUGAAUCUGCACUAAUGGCUCUGGCCCUGCAUCGAGGACUUCAAAGCAAAAGGAAUUUUUUUGAAUAGUUCCAGCUCAGGUGUAACUGAAAUCCCAUUUUACAGACUGUUUCCACAGACUCCGUUUGUGAAGCCCAGGAAACAGGACUCACUUUUCUGCAGCAAACUGGAGCCUGGCUGAGCGUGCUGACGCCACGUGGAUUUUCCCUGAGCUUACCUUGGUGAGGUAAAGCUCUGAGCUCAAAUUCCUGGUGAAAUAAAUUUAAAUGGGGUGUGAAACCCCUCCCAUGUCCUGGAGCCAGGUGAGGGGCUGCCAGGGCUGUCUGCCACCCUUGGUAUGGCUGAAGCAGGCACUGAGUAGUGCAGAUCAAUAGCACUGCUGUAUUAUUGUGACCCUCCUGACUGAAGGAAUGGCCCUUGAGAUGCCUGUGGACUUCAGAACGGGAGACACGGCUGCCACAAACAAGCAAAAAGGAAACCUUCAGCAGCUUCCCUUAGCAGCCAUGGAGAGCUUGGAGCAGAGUUGUGGGGUGGAUUUGCCACAGAGCCUGUGCUGGAUCUGCACUGUGUGAUGUGGAGCCACAGCAGGAGCCUCAGCUGCAGAGGACGUGCCCACCUGGAGUGUCAUGGUGUGUGUCACCUCCUGAAGGAUGGCCCCAUCCCCCCCAGGGCUAACCUGGCUGGUGCCCUGCAUAGGAGGGGAUACCCACACCUACAGCACAUGAACCAGCUCUGGGAAGCUCCAGCUCAGCUGCUGCUGCUUCAGGCCAGAAGACCCCAAACCUGAUGGUUUAGACAUAAAAAAGAUGAUUUCUCUGAUGAAAUUGGCCUGAAACUGGCCAUUGUUGGCCUGAUGAAAGUGCAUUUCAAUAGAGGCCUACUUGUCCCACGGGAUGAAGGCAGGAGUGAUGGAAACACUUCUGGUGGGUUGUCACUCAUCAUGGUGGCUGGGAGGUGUGACUGGAUGGACCACAGGAUGGACCACAGGCCUGGUCACGCAGGAUGUGAGUCACCUGGGAACUGUGCUGUCCUGACAUGGAGCAAACAGGGGUAGUGAGUCAGAGGUGGCCUGAGCAUGCCAUGGUGGAGCACCAGAAAUAACCUCAGGCUCCAUGGAGGAGCUGCUGACGUGGGGACAACAGGAAUUUCAGCAUUCUGACAGUGUGUAAGGGGGUGGCAGAGCUCCAGAUGGGGUUCCCCAUGGUACGAGCUGGAGCAGGCUUUGAACCUGUGCUGCUUUUAGAGCUGACAUAGGUUUUCAUGUCUGUCUGCUGGCCCAGCAACACCCUCGCUGCACUGAGGAGCCUCUGACUGCACAGAGAACCUGCCAGGGCACAGCAGCAAGAUUAAUGUGUCUGGGAAUUUCCUGGUGAGACUUUUUGUGCUAUUUACCAGAAGUCCCUUGAAGGCAGAAAUUAUUGCAUUAAAAGAUUAAGGCAUCAUUAAUCAUAUUUUUUUUGUCUUCCAUUUUCUUCUGGCAGGCUGGCUCAGUAUUACUGGUAAGGUUUUUUAUUUUUUUUUUCAUUUUUCUCCAUUCAGAAGAAUAAGUUUCUUCAAGUGUUUUCUGUGACUGUGGCAUCCUCAGGUAAGAAGGAACCUCAAGAAAAUUUUGGGCAGCUGAGUGGAAUUGCUCACUAUUGUGAACACUGACAUUUUGACCUCCUUGCUUUCUAGGUUUCUUUUGACUGAUGUAUAUAAUUCAUGGUUCUUCAUAAAAAUAAUAGAAAUUAUUUUAAAAAAUGUAUUUAUAAGAUAUAGUCGUUGUCCAAAGAUCUUGCCUGGUGUGAGGGGGGGUAAUGUGGGAUGGAAGGUGGUUGUAGAUGUACCAGUCUCUUCUGAUGUGGUGGCAGGGGUUGAGAUGGAGGGGUUGACCUGGUGGUGGAGCUUCAGGAUGGUUCCCAGCUAUGGUCUGGCUCCAGAAAGGUUGAAGUAUAGUUUAGAUGCCCAUUUUGGAAAUAUUUGGGAAAUGUGUCCUAACUUAUAAAGCAGAAAAGUUGAAAUGUAACCAAGGAAGAAAUAGCCACUAUGAUAGAAACAGGGUGAUUUUAAAAUUUGCUUCGGUUAUUGAGAGACUCUGCACCACGGGCCAUAGAUAUGACAAAAAGUUGUGUCCUGGCUCCCUGGUGCUUCAUUCAUUUCCAUGCCCACAGCUUUCCUUCUGUGCCUGGUACUACUGCGAGCAAAGCAUUUCUUAAUUUAUGUGCUAAUUAACCUGACAGAGCGAGUUGAUCGUUGGGAGCCUGGGCUCCGGGCAAGCCUGUGUUUGCAGGCAGGGUUCCUUCCCUUUUAUUUUAACUGGAGCAGGGAACGCGAGGCUGGAGCAGUGGGAGGCAGCGGCUCCUCCGGGGGCGGGGGUUCGGGAUGCGCGAAGUGCGAGCGCUGUGGAGGAUGCGGCAGCUUCAGAAAUAUCUGCUUUCAGCCUCCCCUUUUAAUGGAAGUUUUAUUUUAGAAAGUUUUAGUUAACGUCAUUCUAAAGUUUAUUUCCAUUUUAUCUUUUAAAUAAAGAGGCUGUAAAGCUCCUGGCUGGGUUUUUCAUUCCUGCCGGCUGGGAAAAGAGAGGUGAACGGGCUGCUUGUCUCCCGCGGGGAUGCUUUAGGGGCUGCUGGGCUGCAGCCUGACCUACCUACGGCCGUGACUCACCGGGGCAGCUCCUGCAGCCUCCGGAGCUGGAUCCAGCCCCUGCAAAGCCCUGUCACCUGUGCCGCUCUGUGCUGGGGCCGCUGGGUUUGCUUUGCUUCCCGUGCUGCUGCCCCAGCCUGGCACCGAGCCUGGCCAGACCCACUGUUAAUGGAGAAGAGGUCAGCCUGUGCCCCGCUGGCAGCUCUGUGGGGUCUGUGCCAAAGGCUUUGCCCUGGCCGCUGGCUUGGGGAGGGGUCGCUGUGCCAGCCCACACCUCGGGGAUGUGCUCAGUGGGGGAGCUGCACCCCACGGCUUUGCGGGCUCAGGGAUCGCCCUCCCAUCGCCUGCUGCAAACAAAUCCAAACUGCAUGGCUGGCCUCUCUGUGCUUUGCCUUAAUUUCUUGUUUCCUACAUGCCUGGCAUAAGGUACCUUUAAGUGAAGUCAUAUAAAAUGAGAGUCUUGUAGUGACACUUUUCCUAAAGAGGCCAGUUUUGUGUUAAGUGGGAGCAUUGCAAAGGCCAGUUCCAAAGCUGGACUUAGGCCACUUUUGGGUUCAUUUCCUGCCUUGUCACAGGCUCCAUUCCUGCACUGGGCAAGUCACUGGAACCACUGUGGGCUUUUGAUGGAAGUCUGUGAUGAGAGCACCCAAAUCCCUUGGAUACAGGAAUUCUCUGUAUUCCCACACACACCUCAGCUGCUGCUCUGCAAAAGGUGCAAGUGCACCUCACAGAUGUGAUGAGCACAAGAGCAGUGACGGUAUCUUGUGGGUAUCUUGUAUCCCCUGAUGGUGUUUGUGCAGACUUCUCUCUUCCCUUGCACCUCUCCUCUUGGCUGGAGCAGUGCCUGCCCCGGGAGGGUGCACGGGUACAGCCAGUGUGUGAGGGCACUUUGUUACCGAGGAGCUUUUCCAGCCCAACACCAGUGUUAGGACAUUUGGACUGGAAGCAGACUUGCUGCUCAGUUUAUUCUUUGGUUUCCUCGUGUGGAAUAGGGGAAUUUUGAGCAUAUGGAUAAAGCUAAAUCAAAAUGAUAAAGUAUUUCAUUUCAGACUGAGGGCAUCCACACAAGAAUAACUCUUCCAGAAUAGCUUAUCACAUAGACAAACUAAAAAAAUUAAUAUAUUUUGACCAGAGGAAUGAAGGAGGCAUGGAGCUCUGGGUGACAAGCACAGCUCCCACAAACACAUAAAUCACAGAUCACAAUAGGCUCUUUUAGAGCUGUAGAAAUGAUAGUGCUGUUCUGGUAAUGGAACAUCCUGAUCCCAUCUCUACAUGCAUGUGCUAUAUUUAUAUUCUACACUUGUAUAUAUUCCAAUCAUAUAUAUAUAUAAAAUCCAAUUUACAGAUGUGGGCUUUAAUUAAGAGCUCUGAUGUGUACUUUUUACUAAAAUAAUAUGUUAGGAAGGAAUGUAAUUCAUCAAAGAAACACUAAAGAAACACUGCUGAAUUUAUGAUGAGAACAGGGAGAUAAUGGGAUUUCUGAGAUUGUAUGGAUACUCUUUGCAGUCAUUUGAGAGGGCAGGAUAUGGGGGAACUCAACUGAAAAUGAGUUUUUUUCUGAGAUUGUUUUAAACCUAAUGUAUUUGCAAUUCCUGUUUUGUGGAUGCACACAGAUUCUUAUAUGAAUACUGAUUUUUUUAGAUCAUUUAUUGUAACAAGUAGUUUUUGCCUGGAAAAGAUCUGAUGCUGCAGAUUCCAUUACAAUAUAUUCUUUCAUAAUGCCAGUCUGUAUUUCUUUUUAGUUGCAGCGUUCUAACAAAUUCCAGACUUGAAUUAAAUCUGCUGUUUUGACACGUGAAAUGUUUUUCAUGUCAUGUUUUUUCCCCCUUCCUUUUAAUU